rnacentral:rRNA from 1 species
CAUGCAGUCGAGCGGACAGAAGGGAGCUUGCUCCCGGAUGUUAGCGGCGGACGGGUGAGUAACACGUGGGUAACCUGCCUGUAAGACUGGGAUAACUCCGGGAAACCGGAGCUAAUACCGGAUAGUUCCUUGAACCGCAUGGUUCAAGGAUGAAAGACGGUUUCGGCUGUCACUUACAGAUGGACCCGCGGCGCAUUAGCUAGUUGGUGGGGUAAUGGCUCACCAAGGCGACGAUGCGUAGCCGACCUGAGAGGGUGAUCGGCCACACUGGGACUGAGACACGGCCCAGACUCCUACGGGAGGCAGCAGUAGGGAAUCUUCCGCAAUGGACGAAAGUCUGACGGAGCAACGCCGCGUGAGUGAUGAAGGUUUUCGGAUCGUAAAGCUCUGUUGUUAGGGAAGAACAAGUGCGAGAGUAACUGCUCGCACCUUGACGGUACCUAACCAGAAAGCCACGGCUAACUACGUGCCAGCAGCCGCGGUAAUACGUAGGUGGCAAGCGUUGUCCGGAAUUAUUGGGCGUAAAGGGCUCGCAGGCGGUUUCUUAAGUCUGAUGUGAAAGCCCCCGGCUCAACCGGGGAGGGUCAUUGGAAACUGGGAAACUUGAGUGCAGAAGAGGAGAGUGGAAUUCCACGUGUAGCGGUGAAAUGCGUAGAGAUGUGGAGGAACACCAGUGGCGAAGGCGACUCUCUGGUCUGUAACUGACGCUGAGGAGCGAAAGCGUGGGGAGCGAACAGGAUUAGAUACCCUGGUAGUCCACGCCGUAAACGAUGAGUGCUAAGUGUUAGGGGGUUUCCGCCCCUUAGUGCUGCAGCUAACGCAU